AAAAUCGACCUCAACCCAGCCCUUCCUCCGUUCUCUCCCAUCAGACAUCAGUUCGCCGGCCGGUUCCUCCUAAAACCUCCGCCGACCGCCGUGUAAACACAUCUCCGUCACCAAUCUCUACCCCAUAUGCUCCAGCCACUGCCACUCGUCUUUGCUCCCGUCUCCUCCCUCUCUUCUCAAAAAUCUGAGGGCUCCAACUCCAAUCACUGAAGCACCGCGAGAUUUUUUUUUUUGAAAGCUCCGCGAGAUUUCCUCGAAUACCCGCGCCCAAUUCCGCUCCGGCGUCCAAAAAACCCCACCUAAGAAUUCAGCACACCGCCUGAAUCACACAUGGGGAGGAAGAAAUCUCGGCCGGUUCGAGCGGCGGGCACCGCCUCUGCGGCGGCCGAGGCCGACCCUGACGCGCCGGGCCCUAGCGGGGGUACGAAGCGCGCGGCCAAGGGCGAGGCUAGGAGGGACGUGCGCGUGGAGGUGGAUAGGAGCACGUGGGGGCUCGCCGACGCCGACCACCGCGACGUCGCAGAGGUGGUCCUCCGAGACGUCAGUGUCUCCGCCGACGGGGAGGAGGCGUUGGAGGAGGCAUUCGGGGCAUCAGGGUUCUCCUUGCGUAUGCUUGUGCGUGACGCGCCGGAGGAGGGCUUCAGGAUGGGCCAGUGGCCCGUUGUGCCGUCGGAUUGCGUGCUCCUGGAGUAUGUCGUCGUCCGUGGGGAUCGCCAAGAGAAACACGAGCUCGUCGUGUCAGGGUGUUUUGAUGGUCCUGAUGAAGGUAUAUCCGGCCUCGCCCAUCUGGUGAGCUUGAGAUUCGUCACCCUGCGCGUUCAAUCGCUUAGGGCGUUUCGGGAUGCGGGCGAAGCCAAGGUUGAAUCAUUCAGGGUUAGAGUGGAGGUGAUGGAGGGGGCUUUCAGCGCGUGUGAAUCGCUACUGGAGGUGGCUAGGCAUCCAUGGAGGAAGAGCUUGAUGAAUAUGAUGGCUUGGUUGCGUCCUGAGGUCACAACAUCGGCUGCAAUCUAUGGGAUGGAUGGCCUUGGUGUGCCAAUGGAUGAUGCUAAUGCUGAUUUCACACCGAAAAGUGAUUCGCAGUUUGAUCUUGCUGCUUUUUAUGAGGCAGUUAAGCCUUCGAUUAAUGCGGAACAGUUGGAAGUUGGUCUUCCUGAUUUAGUUCCUCAGCUCAGGCCAUACCAACUCCGUGCAGCACAUUGGAUGGUUCAACGUGAAAAGGGAAAUAUUCUCCAUCAUGAAUAUGUUAAUUCUGCACCAUAUUGUGUUCCUAUCGAUUUUAUUCACAAGAACUCAAGGAUGUUCUACAAUCCUUUCAACGGAAAUAUUUCAUUGCAACCGGAGCCUUCUCCACCUUAUGUUUCUGGGGGCAUUUUGGCUGAUGAAAUGGGCUUGGGGAAAACUGUCGAGCUUUUAGCUUGCAUUUUUGCCCAUAGUAGGCCAUCUUCAAUUGGCCUUUCUAUCUCCCAGAACAAAACUGAAAUGGCUCAAAUAAAGAGACAGAAAGUAGAAAGGGUUGAGUGCGUUUGUGGGGCUGCAAGUGAAAGUUCUGCAUACAAGGGUCUGUGGGUCCAAUGCGACGUUUGUGAUGCCUGGCAACAUGCUGAUUGUGUUGGUUACACACCCAAAGAAGAUAUACAUUUUGAUAACACAGCUGAAGAUGUAGCAUCAAAAAAUGAAAAAAGUGACAAGAAGCCUGGGAUUAGAAGGAAAAAGAAACCCAGGUGCACUAUUGUUGAUACAGAAGACAAAUAUGUUUGUGCACUGUGCUUGGAGCUUACUGAAGCAGCUCAAACUAAUAUAUUCAGCCAUGCUACAUUGAUAGUAUGUCCUGCACCAAUAUUGGCACAGUGGUAUUCUGAGAUUACCCGGCACACAAGGGCAGGAUCUCUGAAAGUUUGCAUUUAUGAAGGUGCAAGGAACUUAGAUCUGCCUACCAUCCAAAAAAUUGAUAUGACUGAUAUAAGUACUGCUGAUGUUGUCCUGACAACCUAUGAUGUCUUGAAAGAAGAUCUAUCACAUGAUUUUGAUCGGCGUGAUGGUGAUCGUCGUUUCUUGAGAUUUCAGAAGAGAUAUCCCGUCAUUCCAACUGUCUUGACAAGGAUCCACUGGUGGCGGCUUUGUUUGGAUGAAGCUCAGAUGGUAGAGUCAAGCAAGACUUCUGUGACUGAGAUGGCGAUGCGGCUACAUGCUCAACACCGUUGGUGCGUCACAGGAACCCCGAUACAACGCAGGCUUGAUGAUCUCUUUGGGCUUCUACGUUUUCUUAGGACAAGCCCAUUUGACACAUAUAGAUGGUGGGUGGACAUUAUUAGAGACCCAUAUGAGAAGGGGGACCGAAUAGCUAUGAAUUAUGCACACAAUUUCUUUAGGGAAAUCAUGUGGCGCUCUUCCAAAGAUCAUGUCUCAGGUGAACUACAGCUUCCUCCUCAAGAAGAGUGUUUUUCAUGGCUCAUCUUUUCUUCCAUUGAAGAAUAUUUCUAUAAGAAGCAGCAUGCAACCUGCAUGGAUCAUGCACAUCAGAUUAUUAGAAGUUUGAGAAAUGAUGACAACAGAAAGGAAUCAACUUCAGAUUCAAAUGCUUUACUAAAUGUUUACCUCUCCAAUGAUGACAUUGCCAAGCUCCUAGUCCCACUGCUGAAAGUUCGGCAGGCAUGCUGCCACCCGCAAGUGGGGAGUUCUGGUCUCUGCUCCCUGCAGCAUAACCCAUUGUCAAUGGAUGAGAUUUUACAGGUCCUUAUUGGUAAAGCAAAAAUUGAAGGAGAGAAGAGCUUAGGAAAAUUGUAGUUGCCCUGAACGGUCUUGCAGGGCUAGCUGCUAUCGAACAAAAGAACCAAGAAGCCAUUUCACUGUACAAAGAAGCACUAGCUUUGGCUGAUGAAAAUGUUGAUGAUUUCCAUGUUGACCCUCUAUUGAAUCUUCAUAUCAACUACAAUAUUGCGGAACUGCUUAGAACUAGUUCUGAAUAUUUACAAGAGUGCCCAUUAAAAAAUCAGGCUUCUGAAGUUGACAUUGGCCGGAAAAGAAAGGAGAUUAGCACUGUUGAGACAUAUCUACGUAGCAUAAAGCGAAAUAAAAUAUGUGAGAACGGUGUUUCAAGUUUGACAGCUAAUGGUUUGGAAACGUUUGAGGAAGAUGAAAAUGUUAUUGGACAAGCAUGCACAAAUGGAGAAAUGGACACAGAAUGUUCCUGGAGGCCACUCAUCAUCAAAAUGUUUUGCUGAUGAGUGCUUGAGGAAGACUUGCAAUGCAAUCACAGAAAAGUACUUGUCAGUUUUUACUUCAAGGCUGAUAGUAGCACAGAAGGAUUUUAAUGCAUCAUUCACAGAGGUCUUGAAUAUCACUAGGGAGCUACAGAGUGAGCAUAUGAAUUGGUGGCUACAUGCUUUGGACUGCAUUGACAGGAGCAAUGCUAGCGAACUCCUUAAGAAGAUUGAUAAUUCUUCUACUAAGAGCACCACUGGUUUAGGUUCAAGGGGAAUAUCUUCCAGGGUUAAAAGUAUUGCUGGCUUAAAGUAUGAAAUUCAAGCUGAUAUUGAUUCUCUACAAACUUCUAGGCAACAGCUGAUGGAUAGACUUUUGGAAGUUGACAGCACAAUGGAUAAUCCAAGGGAUGAGGACAUUGAGGGUCAGCGAUAUUGUCCAAAGUGUUAUGAUGGUUCUGGUUCUUUAUGUAUCCAAUGUGAGCUAGAUGAACUCUUUCAGAGGUAUGAAGCACGGCUGUUUCUUGUUAAGAAAUCAAACAAUGAUUCUGUCAUUGAUUCAGUAGAAGAAGCACAGGAUCUACAGAGGCGAAAAUAUGAGCUCAAUCACUUCUUCCGUAAUAAAAAAUCCAAUGAGGGAUCUGAACCUGGUUAUGACAAUAAUAAUCCUAGAUCGGCUCGAGAAAACAUACAGGUCUACAGGCAUCCUUCUCGAACUGAGACCACAUUGAGGGUUAUCCGAAAUCACUCAAAGACAGUGUUGGGAAGGCAGUAUUCUGCAAUUGCUAAAAAGCAUUUACUUCUUUUUGAGGCUAUGCGCAAGGAGUUUUCUCAAGCACGGUUUUUGUCAAUUGCUCAAAAUCAAUUAUUGCGUGCUCAUGACGAGAUCAAGAUGUCUAUCUCAAGACUACAGCUGAAAGAGAAUCAUGAUGAACCUAGCGCUGUCAAUAUUGUAACUAGAGAGGAACUCAUACCAUAUAAUGUCCAGUUUACAAGUGAAAAAUUCAUGUCUCUCUCAUCCUUAGCCCGUGUAAGGGGUCAACUUCGGUAUUUAAAGGGUUUGGCGCUAUGUAACAAGAAAACACUUAACAAGCAUGGCGAAUCGUUGCCUAGAACAGGCGAUGCUGUUGAUACAGCUACUUCUUGUUCUGUUACAGGACAAACCAUUUCUGAUAUUAGUAAUGAACCAUGCCCAAUUUGCCAGGAGAAGGUUUUUGACCAAAAAAUGGUUUUCCAGUGUGGUCAUUUCGUAUGCUGCAAGUGCUGUCUUUACAUGACAGAACAAGAUGCAACACAAUUUGGGAAGCGUAAAAAAUGGAUCACGUGCCCUACAUGCCGUCAACGUACAGAUCUUGAGAAUGUCGCAUUUGUAGUCGAGAAACAAAGUGACAAAGCCGAAAAGAGCGCAGAAGAUUUGACUGAAAGCACUAUUUCUGUCCAAGGUUCAUAUGGAACAAAGAUUGAAGCUGUCACAAGAAGAAUAUUGAGAAUCACUUCAACUGACGGAACAGCUAAAGUUCUUGUUUUCUCAAGUUGGAAUGAUGUACUCGAUGUAUUAGAGCACUCCCUUGCAGCUAACAACAUUUCAUUUGUUCGGAUGAAAGGAGGAAGAAAAUCACAGUCAGCACUCUCCCAAUUCAAAGGUCAGAGCAAUAUAAAUGUAGAUAAAGUGAAAAAGACAGUCUCCAAAAUGCAGCCUGUUCAAGUACUACUGAUGCUCAUACAGCAUGGAGCAAAUGGUCUUAAUCUACUGGAAGCACAGCAUGUUAUUCUAGUGGAGCCAUUACUAAACCCUGCUGCUGAGGCACAGGCUAUCAACAGGAUCCAUAGAGUUGGGCAAGACAAGAGCACAUUUGUUCACCGUUUUAUAGUGAAGAAAACAAUAGAAGAGAGCAUCUACAAAUUAAACAGAAGCAGAGCUGUCUGCUCUAUUCUAAACCGAAAAUCCAAAAAUUUCAAAGAUGAACCUGUUUUGACCCUGAAGGAUGUCGAGUCACUAUUCCCAAUGACAGCACCUGAUGAACCCCCAGAACUGGCAAAUGAAGAUCAUGAUGAUAGCUUGAGGAGUUUGCCUCCAUCAGUUGCAGCUGGGUUAGCUGCUGAAAGAAGGCGACUGAUAGAGCAACAGGACAAAUCAACAAUAAGCUAACAGAUGUCUUAACUUCUCGUAUGAAGGAUUCAGAAGCAGAAGCAUGUAUAUAGUUCAGAUAUAGCAGUUCGAUCAGGGACAUGUCAUCGACUUAUGCCACGCGUAUCGUCAUUCAUGAACGCAGUUGCAUUUAGGCUACUAAUUGGAAGGUCAAUUUUCUUCUCAAUUGUCUGGUCUUGUCCUCGAAAUGUACUAAAGAGAGAGAGACAUGCCUUACCCAGUACCCACAUACGAAAAGAUAUAAAACUUGUGGGGGCGUCCGUGUUCCCGUCAUGCAUGUGUCAGGGCAAAGACUAGUCAGCCUAGAUGCACAAGUUUUCAUAAGAAAAUUGCCCGUGAGUUGUAGUUGUCUGCU